GCCUGUCUCCUGGUUCAGCCGCUGGAGGAACUCAUCAACUGUGGAGGAGCCAUCAAAACCAACCACCUGGAAAUGGAGAGAGGCACCCUGAACCAACAAACGUCCUGAGGGAUUGUCACUGGGGUUGGUACAGGGUGGAGGCACACUUAUGGAAGCCAGAGGACAACUUGUGAAAGUUGGUUCUCUCCUACCAUGUUGCUCCUGAUUGUCAACCUUGUCAGUAAGCACCUUCACCUACUGAGCCAUCUCACCAGCUACAACUGUCCCUGAGGACCGAUCUGCAGCACACAGCUGCCAUAGACAUUUUCUUUUGUUUUUGUUUGUUUGUUUCUUUUUUAAACGAGUACUAGGGAUCUAACCCAAGACCUUAUACAUACCAGGUAAGUGCUCUACCACUGAGCUACACCCCCAUCCCUGCAUAGAUAUUUUCUUGCAGAACCCAGAACAUAAACAUUUGAGGAUAAUAUGGAUAGCAUGGCUUCACAUGAGAAUGUCCCCAAAAUACCAAGGACACAUGGAUUGGUAUCCAAAGAAGUUAAAGUAUGCUCAGAUCUCCACAUGCUCAUGGGUACCUGGGGAUGGGUGAAGUCUCUUAACAACCAAGCAAAUCUGAGGGGAAAUGCAGACAAUUCAGCCUCAUCUUCCCCCUCAUCCUUUUGAAACACAGCAAUCAACAGUGUAGGAGUGGCAGGGGAAAUGCUUUCACUUACCUGGGAUCUGCAUGGCGUUGAAGCUGCUGCUUGACAUACCAGAGGAAGUGAUGCUGAGGCAGGAAGAGUGGGGCACACAGAGCCAAGAGCUGCCAGCACUGCCAUGGAACACAGACAGUGUGGGGUGAGUGCUGGGACCCUGCUCUCGAAGCUCUGAGCCACAGCACCUUCACUAUUCUUUCUCCACACCAGCAUCUCAACUCUCCUGUCAGGCCCUACCCAGGACAGCAAUCACAUUCUGACCAGGCACAGAUCGGGCUAGGACUGGAGAACACCUGCCCAAGCACCUGCUACCACCCCCUACCCUUACACAGCUCUUAGAAGUGUUCCAGCCAGUUGUUAUGUCCCCAGCCUGUGCCCACCUGCAUAAGAGAGUACUUCUGAGGCGGGCGGCAGCUGGUCUGCUUCAUGAGCUGGCAGUAGAUCUCACUCUGUAGCUCAGGGUGAACAAGGCAGACCUGCAGUGCUGUCUGCGCCAGGGACACAUGGUAGUCCACGGAGGCUGCCUCCACAGGCACGUUGAUGAAGAGCUGGCAGGACUGGAAGGGGAUGACAAUGGGCACGGGCAGGGGCAGCCCACUGGUUAUUCUUGUGACAGGCACCGGUGCAGCAAAGCCUCCGGGAAGGUCAAGCUCACCGACUGGCAGCCCUUUCUAGAGGGAACACUGUUCCUGCUCAUGAGGCCGAAAGGAUCUCCUUCAGGAGCAGAAUCACACCUUCUUUAAAUGUAAUGUUUUCAUUACAUAAGCAUUACAUUAGCUUGCCUGCAUCAGCAGAAAACAUUUUUUGCAAGACAGGGUAGCACAGACUGGCAUUUAACUCCAAGUCCUGCCUUUGCCUCCUGUGUGCUGGGAUUGUGGACAUUGUAGCAACACACACUAGCACCACACUAGCAAGGUUUUUUGUUUUUGGUUUUUUUGCCAGAAAAUGCAGAUGGGCACAAAGAAGACUAAACUAGGUCAGAAAUCUCUGAUGCCCCAAAAUGGUGCAAACUGAGCCUUUUCUGUUGUUACUUGAAGGGGAUGGCAGCUCAAGGGAGAGCUUUGGCUGGCAUUUCCCAGAACCCUCAGAACUUCCUCCUGGCCUGCAGAACGGUUAUAGUCCUGCUAUAAAGGAAGCCAUAAAGGGGACCCUGUGAGACUUUCUUGUCCUCUCCACAACCCUUGGGCCACCCCAUAAUCACACAGGUCUCCUGUGCUAUGAUGAGCUCAAGCUGUGCCAAGCAGAGCCUGGUUACAUGUGGGCACCAACAGCCAACAGGCCUGGGCUCCACUCCCAUGUUACCUUGAAGAGCUUGAGAGCCUCCGUCUGUAGGGCCUCAGAGGGCAGGGUGGUAAGGGAGUUACAUAGCCCAUCCCGACUGUAGCACAGCAUGGGGUGCCUCCAGAGCGGGGAGUCUGCACAGGGCACAGACCAGAACAGUGGCAGUUACUACAGAGGAGAGAACUCGCCGCCUACCCUACCAGCCCCAACUCUGACUUGCAAGGAAGGCAGUGGUUUAACUCUGGGAAACAUGGGUUUUUCUGGGUUGAUCAUCUACAGACUGAAGGCCAUGGGGGUGUGUACUGAAAACUGCACAUUCCCUCGCACGGCUGUUGAGGAAGGCAGCCAAAGCUUUGCUGAGGAGCCACAACCAGGCUAAGUAGACAAAGCUGUGAGUGCUGAUGAGCACAAGUGUCUGCAUGCAGGAACGGCCUUCCUUGCAGGAUCAGGUUGAAGGAGCAGAUGCAUAAGCUGAAACAGACCAGCCCUCAGAGAAGUAGUAAAAGGUAUGUGUGGUGUGCACCUCUGGGUAGUUCAUGAGGGCCCUGAGAAGUAAUUGCCAAAUAAGGACUCCCAGACAUCCCAGGAUUAGGUUAGUCUGGUCCAAAUUGAGGCUUCAUUUAUUAACAAACUCUUAAUUAUAGAUUAACCAGCUGCCUCCCCUCACUCCUACCUCUACCCCCCAAAUCUUCUGCAUAGCUAGCAAAGCUACAGAUUAAACAGAGUAGAACAUUUACCCAGGUGUCUAGAAAAUCUGUUUCCCAGAUUCCCUCACAUACAGUGGUUACCUCAGUGUUUUGGCCACAGACAGAGAGACCCAGGAGCAUGGGAUGGGAGUUCCCCAAGGCAUUUUUUUUUUUUUUUUGAGACAGGAUUUCUCUUUAUUGUUUUGGAGGUUGUCAUGGAACUCGCUCUGUAGACCAGGCUGGCCUCGAAGAGAUCUGUCUGCCUCUGCCUCCCAAGUGCUGGGAUUAAAGGCAUGCGCCACCAAAGCCCGGCCUCCCCCAGGCAUGUUUAACACAGCUUAGGUAUAGGAGUGCUCUCUUUGCUUCUUCUCCAAUAAGUGCCCUGCCACGCCCCUUCAGCCCAGGCCGCUCUUGCCUUACCUGGGUCUCCCUCACCAUCCAUCAGUUUCCCAAUGAGCUGCUCAUAAACAGUGCCCACCUUGGCGCUGCUGCCUCCUGCAGCCACUGUGAGGUGGUAGAGCCAUGUGUCCUGGGGGAGGACAGAAAAAUAAUCAGAUGCUAAUGAGGUAGAAAGAGUAGAGACAAGAGCUGGUUUUGGGGCAGGAGGUGGAGCUGAGUGACAGCAAAAAAGAAGUGUGUAAUUUUAAGAUGGGAACAGGGUAUACACCUGUCAUAGCAGAAUCUGGGGGAGCUGAGGCAGAGGGAUCUCAAGUUCAAGGUUGGCCUAGGAUUAUGAGACCCUCUCUUGGGGGCGGGAAGUAAACUUUCACUAGAUUGGCUAGCCUGAGUCAAGGUCACCACUCCAAAGAGAAAGAUAGGAUCAGGUGGAUGUAAACCUACAUUUCCAAGUUUGUGGUGCUAUAUCAUGGCCCAUGAUGAAGAGAUGCUGGUCACUUGGAAUGAGUUCAAUAGAUAUUCAAAAGUAAUAUUCCCAUUCAGUGUCCCAGAAGAAAUAAACUUGAAUUUGGAAAGCUCAGGAGAAAAGAGAGAGGGAAAUCAAAACCCAGGUCCAAGCUAGGCCACAAAGGUCCAGCUCAUCCCUUACCUUUUCAUGCUUGGUGCCGAUGAGGAGGUAGGUGGGGCUGUGCUCUGGGGGGUGGAUCACCAAGGUGCAGUGGGAGGAAAGCAACCGUCCAGUUCCUCCAGCCUCAUAGUCUUCAUCGGAGUCACAGGACCGAUCUACUUCCUCUAUGUGAGCAUCCCGCACAGGUAGGCAGCCCAGGGGUCUCUGUGGACAUGAGCCUUCCAUGAAUAGGACAACAGGUGGACAGGGGAGUCUCCCUUUUCUGAGUGCUUAGGCUGUGUGGGGCUGGAGAUCACACAUGUGGAGAGAGGGCUUGGCAAGGAGAUGGAAGCUGCAGCACUGCAGCCAGCCAGAAGCAGAAUACUGUGCUUAGGAAAGUGCAAACUGAUGACAGUGGCCAUGAUGCUGGUCACAUGCUCUGGAGGGAGUAGGACUUGUAUUUGUGAUAGGGUGUGGUGUGGUAGAAGGUAAAGCUGGGGACCGCCAUCAGUGGCAUGCAAGGUACACAGUUUGGAGGAGGCGCUGUUAGGAGCUCAAUGAAAUACCUUGUCCUCAUGGCUCCGGUAGUAGUAGAAGGUUUUCCCAACAAGGGCACACCAGACCAGCUUGGAGUGGCCAUGCUUUACCUGUUAAGUGAAAUGACUUUAUUAGAACCAGGACUCCAAAAUAAAUCCAGGGCUAGCCAAUACAGGCCACAGGGAAGGUUGCCAAAGUCAGGUCUCCUUUCAUAGUGAGACUGCCACGGUAGGUACUCUGUGGUAAGCCAGUCACAACUGGGCCACUCAGAGACCUAUGACCUGCCACUGACAGAUUCUCCAGGUAAUCAGAAUGCAGAUAUGGGAAUAAUCUGCUAGUUGGCAUAGGCCAGAGCUGUAAGGAUGCUAUGAGGUAAAUAAAGGCCUUGGCAGUCUGGAGCCUUAAGUAAGGUACCCUAACCACCAGGGGACAGCAACUGAACACUCAUAGAGAUGAAGGGUGGGCUUCUGGGAGGCAGAGGCUCAGAAGGAAAGAGUCUGAGCACCAAGCUUGCUGGGCUCAGUAACUAUCCCUGAUCUAACCCACAAUAACUCACCCUGUUAGUGUGCUUCCUAGUUAACUUCCCUUUGCUGGGCUUAACUAGGGUCUCUGCUUCUAGGAAAACCCUAGUUAAAAUGUCUUUAGGCAAGCUUGGGAUACUAGUCUUUGAAUGACAGUCACACUGGCUUUAUUCAGGUCUUUGUACUGUUAAUCCUGACACAGCUAGUUACACUAGGAGGGAGGGGAGGGAGCGGACACAACAGAUGGGAGACAGUGCCUAAUGUCCUAAACAUUAAGUAAAAACUUUUCUUUCCCUUCUGUCUUGAGAAGUUAUUCUAAAAGCCCACAUCUCUGUUUCCAGAAUCACCACCAUCAUUUUGUAUGCUCAGACCACGUUUGAGGGCCCACUGGUUAAGCAGUUCUUGGAGAAAGAGCCCAUCUCUGGGUACACCCAUGCCUGGCUUCCAUUACUUCCCUAUCAGUUCCACCUUGUACCUUGGUCAGCCAGCCCUUCACAGUAGGUUUGGCGCCCCCUUGAUGCAGAGCUGGCGGUCCAAUGACCUGCACCUUCAGAAGGCUCUGUAGGACACGGAUCCAUUCUUCCAGGAGGCUGGGGGACUCUGCUGUUAGGUAGUAGGUUUUGUUCUCAGAGAUGAGCUGUGGGGAUAGAGAGGGGGGAUUAGAGCCAGUGAAAGACAAAUCCUUCGACCUACUGGGCCUUCCAAAAUGCCACCUAUUCUCUCCCUUCUUUUCCUUUUUGACUUUCUUCCCUUCCCUUCACCUCUCAUUCUGUUUCAUGCUCACAACCAAAGAUCAUAUCCUACUCCUGGUAUGAAAUCAUUCACUCGUGCUUAUUUUUGUCUCAUCUUUGCUUCAAUCACAGUCAUAUCUAAACCCUACACCAUACUGUAUAUCUAAAAUCCAGGACAGCUGCCACGAGAAGGCUCACCUGAAAUGUCUGUGCUCCUUCCCCUCGAACAAUCUGGCAAUGGGAGUUCAGAUCCACUUGACCUUGAGGUUUCCGGAUGACAUCACUCUGUAAAGGAGGGGUAAAGAGGAGAGCAUUGGAGUUUGGAGGCUUCUCAGAUCAUCAUUUUUUAUUCCAAGUUACAGGCGCAAAGUGAUUCCCAAAAUUCUCAGGCUAUGGACAAUGAAUGACUUGUUCUAGAUUCUUCUAGCAAAACAAAGCCAUAAUUAGGAACAUGAGACCCUCUAAAGCAGGCCUCAAGAGAUCUCAGAAGAGUCAGCCUCUAAAAUUGGAUCAGAAGCUACUAGGUUUCUGUUGAUCAAUUAUGUGUGGUGACCAGUGCCUAUCAUCCCAGCUACUCAGUAGGCCUGGAAGGAGGGUGAGGCUGGUCUAGGCAACAGAGCAAGACCCAGCUCAAAAAGAAAACAAAACCAAACCUUUCUAUUCAAUCCUUACACCCACAGGUAUGGCAAAUAAAGUGGCAAUAAGUCACUAUUAUCCUUUCCAGCACUGCUGCAGACAUCAUUAAUUGAUAGUGCCAUGUUUCUCAUGGAGGAAUUGAGGUCCAGCAUCCUUAACACAGAGCUGGAGACAGCUCCAACCAAGCAAACAGCUAUACAAGAGACAAAUCCAUUUUUGCCUUCUUUAAAACAUGAUGAUUGGUUCUGCCAAACUAGUUCUCAACAUUCAAGGCCCUCAAUUCCAGACACUGGAGGAAAAAAGGGAAGCAAUGGAUAUUUCUGUAGUACAAUCCAGAAAAGGUAAGGGCAGCCUGGAAACAUCCCUUUACAAGGCCAGACAUUAGAAGAAAUCAGUUCUGAAGGAAGAGGAAAUUGUCUUGAUAGCCUCCCCAGCUUGUUUCAAAAACAGGUGACCACCUCAGAGUCCCCUGUGUGGUUUAGCACCUCCAAAGGCCAAUCAGGCUGCCCAGUCUGUCACCUGGCAGGCCUCAUGCCACACUGUCCUUCCUCCAGCCCCUCAUACAGUGUGUGUCUGGGCUGUAGUCCCUGUCAUUAUGUCCUGGGGAGGGCCUCACCGGAGACUUGUAGUAUAGGAUUUGUCCCUGUCUCAGGACAAACCAGCGCCUCUUCCAUGUCUUCACUCGGCUCCCCAUUUUCAGCAGGUAACCUGACUUCUCCAGUGCCUCCUGAAGUGGAAGCAAGGAGGAAAGAGGGGACAAAAAGGGAGAGUCACAUGAGGCUCCUGAGGGUUGGAAGGCAAGGAGGGAAAGGGACACAAAGGGGAAGUCACAUGAGGCUCCUGAACACCACUCAGGACAAAAUGGUCUAGACCACUACAUCAUUUUUUUAAGAAAAAAAUCAUUGACCACCUAUGAAUGUUUAUUUCCAGGUUCUGUACACUGAUGAGAUCCAGAAGAGAAGUGAAUUAAGAGUGGCAAUCCUACCAUAGAGGGAUCCCAGUGAUGACUGGGGAAGGGACACCUAGCCCCCACGAGAAGGUGGUAUAUCAGGGCUGCAAGUAGGAGAGAAGCUGGCCAGGGAAGGCUUCAGGAAAGAGUGGCAUCUAAACUAGCCUACAGGCUGGUGGUUCUCAACCUUCCUAAUAUUGUGACCCAUUAACAGUUCCUCAUGUUGUGGUGACCCCCAACCGUAAAAUGAUUUCAUUGCUACUUCAUAACUGUAAUUUUGCUGCUGUUAAUAAUCUUAAUAUAAAUAUCUAAUAUGCAGGAUAUCUGAUAUGUGACCUGCUAUUCUAAAGCAAAGGCCAGAUUCCUUUACCAAGACCAGUUGAGAGAAGGAAGGCCAUUCAAGGCAUCACAGAUAGGAGAAAGCAGGUAGGUCUCUGAGGCCCAGGCUUCCCAGCCAUAAACAUGGUCCCACAAUAACCAUGAGGACCAUGAGGCAAACGAGACAUGAAGCACAAGCCAAACACUGCCCCAGCACCUGGCCUGCUAAAGCUUAACUGUUAGUCAUGGUGGCAUCUGAGGUCAGGCUGAAGAUUAAACAAGGUGACAGGUGCCAUGAUCCUCAUGGGGUCUGAGGCACUCCCUGGACUUGGGCUCGUCUUUCUCCAUCAUGGGGUCUGUGCACAGCUGUCUCUGUUAACGCUUCUAGAGCCUCCUUCCCACUACCAUCUUCAGGUCCUUCCUCUCUCUCACUGCUUCUUGUAUGGGUACUGAGGCCCAGGCAGCCUCUGCUCAGGUUUGCUCCUGCCCAGGGCCCCUUCCCCAUUCACACACAGGGCUAUGUACUCUGCUCACCCCAUCAGUGGAGUACGAUGAAGUCCGCUGCAGUUUGUGUUCAGGCUCUGAGUAGUCACUGUCUAGUGAACAGGCAUCAGGAGGGAUGGCGUAGUCACCCUCAGAACUCAAUGAGGACAUAGAUACUCCUGGUCACAGGGGAAGGAAUCAAGACUGGGGUCACACACCCCUCCCAAUACCCAAAUGGCCAGAAAGUGUAAGGCUUCCAUUCUCCACUGGGAUCCCCUGAGUCUAGAGCUGAGGGUAAAACUGGUAGGAACCCUGGUAGAGAUGAAGUAGGAAAAGACUGAGAGUCCCCUCUCCUCUGUGUACCUCUCUUGAUAGCCCGGGGGCUUCCCAGGCCACUGGUCUUCCUAUACUCAGAGCAGGGGACUGACAUCCGGAAACUUGCUUGAGAGCUGCAGUCGUCAUCAGAUCCAGAGGAUUCAUCCACAAAAGGCACAUUGCUGAUCUGUGUGGCUUUCUGCAAGACAGACACCUCCCCAACUACAGCUCAGGCUUCCAAACAAGCUGCUUCCACACAACAGCUGGACCUAGUUUGAAAAAAUAAAAAAAACCCACACGUGGUGGGCUGAGCUGCCUGACCAUGGUCACUGCUGAAGACACCUGACCUUCAACCCCAGUGCAGGCAGCCCUCACUGCCUGCUAUAUACCCCAGGGAACAGGAGCCAGGCCCGCCAAAGACAUUUUAGGACUUCUUGCCCCUCGUGUACUCACCGCACCAGGCAGCAUCACUUUGGGACGACACAUCUGACAGCUGCAUGCCUGAUGUGGCCAUGGCAUAGAUCCGGCUCUCCUGUAACAACAAGUCCAAGAUGUCAGGACUGCUCACCUCAGCCCCUCCAUGACCGUGGAGGGAAAGGUGACUUAGGGGUAGGCAGACCUGGGUUCACCACCCAGGACAGGCUGGUCACUGGCUGAGGAAUUUUAAGCAAAUUUCUUCAUUUCUAAGCCUCAUUUUCCCCAGCUCUAAAAUACUCCUGACCUUUUAAGAGUCUGCUUAAUGCAAUCAACUGAUGUAGUUAAUUAAUGUAUAAUAUAAACACUUCAUGCCUGGGGCAUAACCCAUGCCCAGCAGAUUUUCAUUCCCUCUGGCCUCCACUUGAGGCAAAGGAGGUUCAAAGAGAGCUGGUCAGUAAAUUGUCUCUCCAUUUCUUGGAUUCUUGCCUAUUUUAGUGACUCCUAGGUCCCAGGGUCUCACCCCAGAGGUUGAGAGUGUUGACAGUGAGGAAGGGAGAACCCCAGGAAUAGAGAUGUUUGUAAUUCAGCUGUUUGAAGGCUAGGAUACAUAGCUUCCUACAGUAGCAGGGUGCACAUGUCAGGCUUCCAAGGCCAACCACAAAGCUACUGUAGCCCAACAGGGUUCCAGACCCCUAAGGUAAAGCACUUCUGCCAAAAAUUCUGGCACUAACUAUGCAUGCCUUUGGGUCUGACGUGAACUCAAGAGGAAGAGAGUUUGGCUCUCAACAGCCAGGAAGGCCUUUCCCAGGCUGCUCCAGGGCUGUUUGCUCUAGAAGCCCUACAGUGAAUACAGGCAACUCUUGAGGCACAGAGGCUGACCAGUAAAGUCAGCCAUGCUGGACCAGAGAAGCAACUAAGGGCCACGCUGGAAGGGACUGGGAUGAAUACAGGCCCCAGAGUAGCACAUUGAUAUGCUGAGGUAACCAGAGUUAUGGCAAGACAGGUGGAGGACAACAGAGAGACACUCGGGCAGGGCAGUGCGGGGGCAGGCUGCCUAUGCUCAGGCAGGGCAGAUACAUCAAUGUGAGGAGGAACUGGGCGCAGAUCUCUCUGUUCAUAUUGAUCAUGGACUUACACCAAGGACAGGCUCCCACUUCAUAAGGAAACAAAACUCAAGGUUGAGGAAAGGUCAAACAAAAGAUAGCUCUGUUGGACAAAGGGGCACCAAAUGUCUCCCUCAUGAAGUUGUUGAAAGGCUUAGUGAAAAAGAGCUUUACAAACUCGAAAGGCAGGUGUACUGAUCCACCAAUUACUUGGACAGAAAAUGCCCUUUUCUGGAUUGCAGGCUUUGCUCCUGACAGUUACUGCCCAGCUGGCCCUGCCUGAGGGAGACACCUAAGCUUCGUUAGGGAGCUUGGGUGAGCAAGCAGUAUGCCUUCUUUCCCUCAGGAGCAAGUUACAAAGGGGACUGUAAACAGGAGACCAAUUCUCCUCAACCAGCAUGCUGAUAAUGGGGAUUCCUGGAUGCCAGCAGAAGCAGGAAGACCAGUGUUACUCCUGACACUGAGCCUGAACACCGUCACCCUGGAGUGCAGCUGGCAACGGGCCACAUUUGAAGUCAACCUUGCUCAACACUCUGUGACUCAAGUCUCACAGGUGCUCUGGUAGCAAUCCUCAAGCUGGCUGGUAGUCCAUUAAGGGUACAGUCAAAAGCCUGGGUGUGGAGCUCCUUGAACUAGCACUUCAAAAGGAAACCCGGAAGUAUGCUGCUGAAAUUAGGGGUCUCCAACCCACCCGAGAGCAGCCAUUUUUUCUGCUGCCAGGAGCAGAUGUCCUUGCACAUCUGUAGCACUGGGCUUGAUUAAAAGAUUGACAUAUGUGCCCAUGUCCCCAGGGGUGGUGCAGCUAGAGUGCUGGGGCUGUGCUUCUAGGCAGCCAGACCUCUACUGGAAGCCUGGUUCCUUCACUAACAACAUGACUUGGGAAGUGGCUGAACUGUAGAAAGCAGUUUCUUAUCUAUGAAAGGGAGAAAUAGCACCCAAUCCCACAUAUAAAUGAGGCUAUUCCCGAAUGUCAGGCUCUGUGCCAGGCCUUCAUGUCAUCCUCACCACUGACUUGUGACCCAGUCAUGUUCUACCCUCCUUGUUUUUUUAUUUUAUUUUGUUUUUUAUUUUAACCUUUAUCACAGAUGUCAAAGAAGCAGAAGAGUAGAAAGCAUGACCUCCGUCCCCAUGACUCAUUUUCACUCUGUAUUAAUGCUCAGUCUUAUUUUAUCUGGAUUCCCCAUCUCCACUCUGGAUAUGUCAUUGUGACCCAUAAGGAAGCUAAGGCUCAGAGACAAAAGUAGCAAUAACAAUAGACUACUAACCACCUACAAGCACUUGUUCACUACAUAUUUUAGUCAAUUAUUUAGUAUGUAGGGAGGUUUGUCUGCAUGUAUGUUAGUACACUCCUUGUGCAUCUGGUGUCUGAGGAGGCCAGAGGAGGUCACUUGAUUUCCUGAAACUGUAGUUAGAAACAGUUGUGAACUGGGACCAUGUGGGUACUGGGACUCAAACCUGGGUCCUCUGGAAGAGUUGCACAAUCCCUCCAUCCCCUCAAUAUAAUUUAAUCUUCCCAGGAACCCUAUUAGCUGGACUAGCAAGAUGGCUCAGUGGGUAAAGGCACCUGCCAUCAAGCCUGAAAACCUGAGUUUGAUUCCCAGAAUUUGCAUGAUAGGAGAAAACGGACUCCUGUGAGGUGUCUGAUGUUCACAAGGGCACCAUGGCACACGACCCCCCCCAAAUUAAAUGUAAAUAAAUAAGGAAGAACCCUACUAAUAAUCACUAUCACCCUCCCUUUAAAGAUAGGAAACUGGGGCCAUGGGCUUAGAAACUUGCCCAGGUUCACAGGCAGAAAUUCAACACCAGUGGCCUGAUCUGGGGUACAGUUCCUCUCUUCCACAUAUGUCGCCUCCAAAUCAAAGAGAACUGAAGAAAUCACAAAGCACCCAGCUUGGCACAUGGCACAUAUCAUUUCAAAUUUUGGCUCUGCCCUGCCUGGGUGAGUGGGUCAGGCUGGCCUGUCUACCAGUCCCCCACAAUGGCUGUGUGGAUGAACCUUAUAGCUCAUGGGCCCCAGAUAUUCUCAGUGAAGACCAUGCCUAUGGUUGGUUCUGCCCUCUGCCCAACCCUGAUGAAGUCACUUACCCAGGAUGGAAACCGGUGCAGGGGGGGCGUGGGUGGCUUCUUCUCCAGUU